GAGGGCAAGUCUGGUGCCAGCAGCCGCGGUAAUUCCAGCUCUCAAAAUGCAUAGAAUUAUUGCUGCGGUUAAAAAGCUCGUAGUUGGAUCUGUGCUGGGAAUUGGGUCCGCCUUCGGGUGUGCACUCAGCUU
rnacentral:rRNA from 1 species